CCAACACAAAGAUGCCAUUCAGAGCUCCAAUUUCCACAAACUCAUCAGCUUCAUCCCUGUCAUGAAGACAUUGGCAUGUUAGAAAUCAAAAGACAAGCACUCAGCAAAUACAUAUGCUAUAAAAGCUCCGGUCCUGCUUUGGUUCCUGCUGCUUCCUGCCCUCAUUGAUUGGACCAGAAUUGUCUUCAUCCCCACUUUAAAUUUUGGGAAAACUCACAGUGAUUUGGUGUGAGCGGGUCACCUCCAUGUCUUUUUGUCUCAUGUUUCUGGUAACUAGACAGAUUGUGUCUGUACCAGCAAACUUUGUUCACUGCAGACUAAAGAAUGAGUUUGUUAGAUUCAGGUGCUUUUAUAUCUCACUUUUAUGCUUCUCCUUGCUGUAGUUUUUGUUUGGUUAGUAAGUGCUGGUAAGUCAGCAUAGAUUUUAAAUUUGAGUUCUUUUGUUGUUAAUCUAGAGCAGUUCUAGUGAGAAGUCCAUCUAUGGUAAUGUUAAUUUCUUUCUAUUUGAGUAUCAUCAACUUCCUGUUUUUCUGACCUAUGUGGAUUUAUGUUGUUAUACAAAAAACCUAUCACUCAUUAAAGUAUAAUUAACUUAA